rnacentral:rRNA from 1 species
AACGAACGCUGGCGGCAGGCUUAACACACGCAAGUCGAACGCCCCGCAAGGGGAGUGGCAGACGGGUGAGUAACGCGUGGGAAUCUACCGUACCCUACGGAAUAACGCAUGGAAACGUGUGCUAAUACCGUAUACGCCCUACGGGGGAAAGAUUUAUCGGGGUAUGAUGAGCCCGCGUUGGAUUAGCUAGUUGGUGGGGUAAAGGCCUACCAAGGCGACGAUCCAUAGCUGGUCUGAGAGGAGGAUCAGCCACAUUGGGAGUGAGAAACGGCCCAAACUCCUACGGGAGGCAGCAGUGGGGAAUAUUGGACAAUGGGCGCAAUCCUGAGCCAGCCAAGCCGCGUGAGUGAUGAAGGUCUUAGGAUUGUAAAGCUCUUUCACCGGAGAAGAUAAUGACGGUAUCCGGAGAAGAAGCCCCGGCUAACUUCGUGCCAGCCGCCGCAGUAACAC